UUUGAGGGGGCCUGUGCCUUUGUGGCAAGUGCAUAGUGGACGGGACUGUGUUGUCCUUUUUAAUUUUAGGGAUUCUAUUGGCCAAAAGUUCACUAUUUUCCUAUCGUUUACACAAUCAUUAUACAUGCUUUCAAAUUAAAACUUCUAAUGCGAAAGAUAUUCAAUAAGGAAGACAUAUAUUGACAACUUGACUCAGUAAAUCUGUUCGAAGGUAUCACACGGAAACAUUCACAUGCCAUUACAAUUUUAACACUGAAAGAUAAUAUCUUGCAACGUUUCUCAUUUUUACAUCUUGUAAUGUUUGACCGUUUGUCUAUGCAAGAUG
rnacentral:lncRNA from 1 species